rnacentral:rRNA from 1 species
UACGUAGGGUGCGAGCGUUGUCCGGAAUUACUGGGCGUAAAGAGCUCGUAGGUGGUUUGUCGCGUUGUUCGUGAAAACUCACAACUCAAUUGUGGGCGUGCGGGCGAUACGGGCAGACUGGAGUACUGCAGCGGAGACUGGAAUUCCUGGUGUAGCGGUGGAAUGCGCAGAUAUCAGGAGGAACACCGGUGGCGAAGGCGGGUCUCUGGGCAGUAACUGACGCUGAGGAGCGAAAGCGUGGGGAGCGAACAGG